rnacentral:rRNA from 1 species
GUAGGGAAUAUUGCGCAAUGGGGGAAACCCCGACGCAGCGACGCCGCGUGAGUGAUGAAGGCCUUCGGGUCGUAAAGCUCUGUUGCAGGGGAAUAAAAAAAUGAAGGUACCCUGUGAGGAAGGAUCGGCUAACUUCGUGCCAGCAGCCGCGGUAAGACGAGGGAUCCUAGCGUUGCUCGGAAUCAUUGGGCGUAAAGAGGGCGUAGGUGGCUUGGUAAGUCAGGUGUGAAAGCCCAGGGCUCAACCCUGGAAGUGCAUUUGAUACUGCUGAGCUUGAGUGUCGGAGAGGUUACCGGAAUACCUGGUGUAGUGGUGAAAUACGUAGAUAUCAGGUGGAACACCGGAGGCGAAGGCGGGUAACUGGACGAACACUGACACUGAGGCCCGAAAGCGUGGGGAUCAAACAGGAUUAGAUACCCUAGUAGUCC